rnacentral:rRNA from 1 species
GGGCCCGCACAAGCAGCGGAGCAUGUGGUUUAAUUCGAAGCAACGCGAAGAACCUUACCUGGACUUGACAUCCCUUGCAUAGCCUAGAGAUAGGUGAAGCCCUUCGGGGCAAGGAGACAGGUGGUGCAUGGUUGUCGUCAGCUCGUGUCGUGAGAUGUUAGGUUAAGUCCUGCAACGAGCGCAACCCUUGUUAUUAGUUGCUACCAUUAAGUUGAGCACUCUAAUGAGACUGCCUGGGUAACCAGGAGGAAGGUGGGGAUGACGUCAAAUCAUCAUGCCCCUUAUGUCCAGGGCUACACACGUGCUACAAUGGUAGGUACAAUAAGACGCAAGACCGUGAGGUGGAGCAAAACUUAUAAAACCUAUCUCAGUUCGGAUUGUAGGCUGCAACUCGCCUACAUGAAGCUGGAGUUGCUAGUAAUCGCGAAUCAGAAUGUCGCGGUGAAUACGUUCCCGGGCCUU